rnacentral:rRNA from 1 species
UACGUAGGGUGCGAGCGUUACUCGGAAUUACUGGGCGUAAAGCGUGCGCAGGCGGUGGCUCAAGUCAGGCGUGAAAUCCCCGGGCUUAACCUGGGAAUGGCGUUUGGGACUGGGUCGCUAGAGUGUGGCAGAGGGAGGUGGAAUUCCACGUGUAGCAGUGAAAUGCGUAGAUAUCUGGAGGAACACCGGUGGCGAAGGCGGCAUCCUGGACCGGCAUUGACGCUGAGGAGCGAAAGCCAGGGGAGCAAACGGG